rnacentral:rRNA from 1 species
UACGGGGGGGGCAAGCGUUGUUCGGAAUUACUGGGCGUAAAGGGCGCGUAGGCGGCCUGCUAAGUCGGAUGUGAAAUCCCUCGGCUCAACCGAGGAACUGCAUCCGAUACUGGCGGGCUUGAAUCCGGGAGAGGGAUGUGGAAUUCCAGGUGUAGCGGUGAAAUGCGUAGAUAUCUGGAGGAACACCGGUGGCGAAGGCGGCAUCCUGGACCGACACUGACGCUGAGGGAGCGAAAGCCAGGGGAGCAAACGGG